GUUGAACGCUGGCGGCAGGCCUAACACAUGCAAGUCGAGCGGAUGAAGGGAGCUUGCUCCUGGAUUCAGCUGCGGACGGGUGAGUAAUGCCUAGGAAUCUGCCUGGUAGUUGGGGAUAACGUCCGUAAACGGGCGCUAAUACCGCAUACGUCCUGAGGGAGAAAGUGGGGGAUCUUCGGACCUCACGCUAUCAGAUGAGCCUAGGCCGGAUUAGCUAGUUGGUGGGGUAAAGGCCUACCAAGGCGACGAUCCGUAACUGGUCUGAGAGGAUGAUCAGUCACACUGGAACUGAGACACGGUCCAGACUCCUACGGGAGGCAGCAGUGGGGAAUAUUGGACAAUGGGCGAAAGCCUGAUCCAGCCAUGCCGCGUGUGUGAAGAAGGUCUUCGGAUUGUAAAGCACUUUAAGUUGGGAGGAAGGGCAGUAAGUUAAUACCUUGCUGUUUUGACGUUACCAACAGAAUAAGCACCGGCUAACUUCGUG
rnacentral:rRNA from 1 species